rnacentral:rRNA from 1 species
AUGGUUAGCAGUGUACCGAUUGGUGAGAAGCUCUUCAUAGGAGGAGACCUCAAUGGCCACGUGGGUACAUCUAACACAGGUUUUGAAGGGGCGCAUGGGGGCUUUGGCUAUGGCAUCAGGAAUCAACAAGGAGAAGAUGUCUUAAGCUUUGCUCUAGCCUACAACAUGAUUGUAGCUAACACCCUCUUUAGAAAGAGAGAAUCACAUCUGGUGACUUUUAGUAGUGGCCAACACUCUAGCCAGAUUGAUUUCAUCCUCUCGAGAAGAGAAGAUAGGCGUGCGUGCCUAGACUGUAAGGUGAUACCUGGGGAGAGUGUUGUACCCCAGCAUAAGCUGGUGGUUGCUGACUUCCGCUUUCGGAUUCGUGUCCAGCGGGAUAAGCGUGCCAAGGUCGCUAGAACGAAGUGGUGGAAGCUCAAGGGGGAGGUAGCUCAGGUGUUCAAGGAGAGGGUAUUUAAGGAGGGCCCUUGGGAGGAAGGAGGGGAUGCGGACAAUGUGUGGAUGAAGAUGGCGACUUGCAUUCGUAAGGUGGCCUCGGAGGAGUUUGGAGUGUCCAGGGGAAGGAGAAGCGAAGAUAACGAUACCUGGUGGUGGAAUGAUGAUGUCCAGAAGGCGCUUAAAGAGAAGAAAGAUUGCUUGAGACGCCUAUACCUGGAUAGGAGUGCAGACAACAUAGAGAAGUACAAGAUGGCGAAGAAGGCCGCAAAGCGAGCUGUUGGUGAAGCAAGGGGUCGGGCAUAUGAGGACCUCUACCAACGGUUAGGCACGAAGGAAGGUGAAAGGGACAUCUAUAAGAUGGCUAAGAUCCGGGAGAGGAAGACGAGGGAUAUUGGCCAAGUCAAAUGCAUCAAGGACGGAGCAGGCCAACUCUUGGUGAAGGACGAAGAGAUUAAGCAUAGAUGGCGGGAGUACUUCGACAAGCUGUUCAAUGGGGAGAAUGAGAGUUCUACCAUUGAACUGAAUGACUCCUUUGAUGAGACCAGCAUGCGUUUUGUGCGGCGCAUCCAGGAGUCUGAGGUGAAGGAGGCUUUAAAAAGGAUGAAAGGAGGCAAGGCGAUGGGCCCUGAUUGUAUCCCCAUUGAGGUGUGGAAAGGUCUCGGGGACGUAGCGAUAGUAUGGCUAACCAAGCUUUUCAACCUCAUUUUUCGGGCAAACAAGAUGCCAGAAGAAUGGAGACGGAGUAUAUUAGUACCAAUCUUCAAGAACAAGGGGGAUGUUCAGAGUUGUACUAAUUACCAUGGAAUUAAGCUGAUGAGCCAUACAAUGAAGCUAUGGGAGAGAGUCAUUGAGCACCGCUUAAGAAGAAUGACAAGCGUGACCAAAAAUCAGUUUGGUUUCAUGCCUGGGAGGUCGACCAUGGAAGCCAUUUUCUUGGUACGACAACUUAUGGAGAGAUAUAGGGAGCAUAAGAAGGACUUGCAUAUGGUGUUCAUUGACUUGGAGAAGGCCUAUGAUAAGAUACCGCGGAAUGUCAUGUGGUGGGCCUUGGAGAAACACAAAGUCCCAGCAAAGUACAUUACCCUCAUCAAGGACAUGUACAAUAAUGUUGUGACAAGUGUUCGAACAAGUGAUGUCGACACCGAUGACUUCCUGAUUAAGAUAGGACUGCAUCAGGGGUCAGCUUUGAGCCCUUAUCUUUUUGCAUUGGUGAUGGAUGAGGUCACAAGGGGUAUACAAGGAGAUAUCCCAUGGUGUAUGCUCUUUGCGGAUGAUGUGGUGCUAGUUGACGAUAGUCGGAUGGGGGUAAAUAGGAAGUUAGAGUUAUGG